AUUGAACGCUGGCGGCAUGCCUUACACAUGCAAGUCGAACGGCAGCGCGGGAGCAAUCCUGGCGGCGAGUGGCGAACGGGUGAGUAAUAUAUCGGAACGUGCCCAUUAGUGGGGGAUAGCCCGGCGAAAGCCGGAUUAAUACCGCAUACGACCUGAGGGUGAAAGCGGGGGAUCGCAAGACCUCGCGCUAUUGGAGCGGCCGAUAUCAGAUUAGCUAGUUGGUGGGGUAAAGGCCUACCAAGGCAACGAUCUGUAGUUGGUCUGAGAGGACGACCAGCCACACUGGGACUGAGACACGGCCCAGACUCCUACGGGAGGCAGCAGUGGGGAAUUUUGGACAAUGGGCGCAAGCCUGAUCCAGCAAUGCCGCGUGCAGGAAGAAGGCCUUCGGGUUGUAAACUGCUUUUGUCAGGGAAGAAAUCCUUUGGGCUAAUACCUCGGAGGGAUGACGGUACCUGAAGAAUAAGCACCGGCUAACUACGUGCCAGCCGCCGCCGUAA
rnacentral:rRNA from 1 species